rnacentral:rRNA from 1 species
UGGGGAAUAUUGCACAAUGGGCGCAAGCCUGAUGCAGCCAUGCCGCGUGUGUGAAGAAGGCCUUCGGGUUGUAAAGCACUUUCAGCGAGGAGGAAGGUGGUGAGCUUAAUACGCUCAUCAAUUGACGUUACUCGCAGAAGAAGCACCGGCUAACUCCGUGCCAGCAGCCGCGGUAAUACGGAGGGUGCAGCGUAAUCGGAAUUACUGGGCGUAAAGCGCACGCAGGCGGUUUGUUAAGUCAGAUGUGAAAUCCCCGGGCUCAACCUGGGAACUGCAUUUGAAACUGGCAAGCUAGAGUCUCGUAGAGGGGGGUAGAAUUCCAGGUGUAGCGGUGAAAUGCGUAGAGAUCUGGAGGAAUACCGGUGGCGAAGGCGGCCCCCUGGACGAAGACUGACGCUCAGGUGCGAAAGCGU